rnacentral:rRNA from 1 species
GGACCCGCACAAGCAGUGGAGCAUGUGGUUUAAUUCGAAGAUACGCGCAGAACCUUACCAACGCUUGACAUGUUCGUCGCGAGACUAAGAGAUUAGUCUUUUCAGUUAGGCUGGACGAAACACAGGUGCUGCAUGGCUGUCGUCAGCUCGUGUCGUGAGAUGUUGGGUUAAGUCCCGCAACGAGCGCAACCCCCUACUUUUUAGUUGCCACCAUUUAGUUGGGCACUUUAAAAGAACUGCCAGUGAUAAGCUGGAGGAAGGUGGGGAUGACCGUCAAGUCCUCAUGGCCCUUAUGUGUUGGGCUACACACGUGCUACAAUGGCACUUACAAUGGGAUGCAAAGAGGCGACUCU